rnacentral:misc_RNA from 1 species
GAUGAAGAACGUAGCGAAAUGCGAUAAGUAAUGUGAAUUGCAGAAUUCAGUGAAUCAUCGAAUCUUUGAACGCACAUUGCGCCCGUCAGUAUUCUGGCGGGCAUGCCUGUUCGAGCGUCAUUACGCCCCUCAAGUCCCCUGUGGACUUGGUGCUGGGGAUCGGCGAGGCUGGUUUUCCAGCACAGCCGUCCCUUAAAUUAAUUGGCGGUCUCGCCGUGGCCCUCCUCUGCGCAGUAGUAAAACACUCGCAACAGGAGCCCGGCGCGGUCCACUGCCGUAAAACCCCCCAACUUUUUAUAGUUGACCUCGAAUCAGGUAGGACUACCCGCUGAACUUAAGCAUAUCAAUAAGCGGAGGA